rnacentral:rRNA from 1 species
CAAUUGGCGAUGCGUCUUAAGCAUUCAAGUCGAGCGGGCUUAUUGGGCAAAGGAUAAGUCAGCGGCGAACUGGUGAGUAACACGUAGGUAAUCUGCCGUGAAGUGGGGGAUAACCCAUGGAAACAUGGACUAAUACCGCAUAUACUCUUGCUACAUAAGUAGAGUAGAGGAAAGUUUUUUCGCUUCACGAUGAGCCUGCGGCCUAUUAGCCUGUUGGUAGGGUAAUGGCCUACCAAAGCUACGAUAGGUAGCCGACCUGAGAGGGUGACCGGCCACAUUGGGACUGAGAUACGGCCCAGACUCCUACGGGAGGCAGCAGCUGAGAAUCUUCCACAAUGGACGAAAGUCCUGCAUCGCGUGAGGGAUGAACUUC